AGAGUUUGAUCCUGGCUCAGGAUAAACGCUGGCGGCGUGCCUAAAACAUGCAAGUCGUACGGGCAGCUUCGGCUGUCAGUGGCGGACGGCUGAGUAACACGUGGGUGACCUACCUCCGAGCGGGGGAUAACUGCCCGAAAGGGUAGCUAAUACCGCAGACAUCGGCGAUCCGUUUCGUCGAUUAGACCCGCAAGGGGCUUGGAGAGGGGCCCGCGGCCGAUUAGCUAGUUGGUGGGGUAACGGCCUACCAAGGCGACGAUCGGUAGCUGGUCUGAGAGGAUGAUCAGCCAGACUGGGACUGCGACACGGCCCAGACUCCUACGGGAGGCAGCAGUUAGGAAUUUUGGGCAAUGGGGGAAACCCUGACCCAGCAACGCCGCGUGGGUGACGAAGGCCUUCGGGUCGUAAAGCCCUUUUCCAGGGGAAGAUAGUGACGGUACCCUGGGAAUAAGCCCCGGCUAACUACGUGCCAGCAGCCGCGGUAAUACGUAGGGGGCAAGCGUUGUCCGGAUUUAUUGGGCGUAAAGGGCUCGCAGGCGGCUCGAUCAAGUCGUGCGUGAAAUCUCUCGGCUCAACUGGGAGCGGUCGUGCGAUACUGAUCAGCUUGAGGCCGGUAGGGGGAAGCGGAAUUCCGGGUGUAGUGGUGGAAUGCGUAGAUAUCCGGAGGAACACCAGUGGCGAAGGCGGCUUCCUGGACCGGUCCUGACGCUCAGGAGCGAAAGCGUGGGUAGCGAUCCGGAUUAGAUACCCCGGUAGUCC
rnacentral:rRNA from 1 species